AAGAUGUAAAGAUUUUUUUUUCUUUUAUCCGAAUGACACUGAUGCAUCAAUGUGAUGAAUGACAUUAAUUUCAAUUCCUGUGUGUAGUUUUGAAAGAAAAGAGUAGAACUGAAGACAGAAUCAGGUAUGCAGACAUACUGCAGCUUCAUACCGUGACCCUAAGCACAAAUGUAACCCUACAGGAAUUCUUGGGAAUUUGUAUCUGGAAGAAAAGCUUGGUCUCCAUUUCUAUAAUGAAGUGAUAAAACAAAUAACGUUGCUGAAAUAAAUAUCUAGAGAGGCUGUCCAGGAAAAGUGACAGACUAUGAAAUGGUCUAAAAGUCGUGUGUACAUAAUAUUGUUCAUGUUAGACUGGAGUACCUAGUGGUCCCAUCUGGCCUUAAUCUUUCUGAAUGUAGCAAAGACAACUCUCUUUUACACUGCUUGGAGAGAAGGAUGUGCAUCUUUGCCUUGAGGACUGAAAGCAGCAAGCUGUUGUAGCCUAACCUAAAUAAAGAGAUGCGACCAUGGGAAGGUUAUUCUCCGGUUAUAUUUUCCUGACCUUUGUGAAGAAAGAAGACAAGGCUUCUCUUCCAAGAUGAUGUUCUAGCUGCAGUACUCUGUGGGUGAUAAUUUGCUGAGACUCCAAGUAACUUCUCACACCAGAAGAGUAGCAACAUUCCCUUAUUAUCUGGCCAUCUCCAAAUGUGCUGUGAACUCAUGCACAAGCUAUAUAUAGGAAGAACUUCACCCACCCGUGACAGGCAGCCACCUACGGGAUGAAUCACCGAGCCUUCUCACGGCUCUCAUCAUCAGGACGCAGCAGAUCAGAACGUGGAGCAAACAAGGAUGGUACAGAGCUGAUCCUCAGCUCCCUCACGCUUGUUUUUGUGCACAGUUAUUCAGGCGCUCCACCAAAG